UAUAACCACCCAUGGCCUUGUUUCUCAGACCUGAUCCUCUAUUCUUUUAUGUGAUGUUUGCUCUGUGCAAAUUCGAUUAGAUCGUUUGUCGAUCUAUCUUUUGAUCAUGGCUUUACCCUGUUUUUGCUUGGAGAUCGAUCCGUGGUUGCAGCUUCUUCGUAGCGCAGCUAGUUCUGUUACGAGCAAGCCGUAGCCGUCUCCUUUUCAGCUCAGAUCUGCGAACGUUGGAGCUUCGUGAGCUCAGGUGGCGAGAUCUAUGGAUUUACGACUGGUGAAGCCAUGAUCAAAAGAUAGAUCGACA
rnacentral:misc_RNA from 1 species